rnacentral:rRNA from 1 species
GUGAAGCGGCAACAGCUCAAAUUUGAAAUCUUGGCCUCACGGUCCGAAUUGUAAUUUGUAGAGGAUGUUUCUGGCGACGUGUCUUCCGAGUUCCCUGGAACGGGACGCCAUAGAGGGUGAGAGCCCCGUCCGGUCGUACACCUAGCCUCUGUGAAACUCCUUCGACGAGUCGAGUAGUUUGGGAAUGCUGCUCUAAAUGGGAGGUAUACGUCUUCUAAAGCUAAAUACCGGCCAGAGACCGAUAGCGCACAAGUAGAGUGAUCGAAAGAUGAAAAGCACUUUGAAAAGAGGGUUAAAUAGUACGUGAAAUUGCUGAAAGGGAAGCGCUUAUGACCAGACUUGGGCUCGGUGAAUCAUCCGGCGUUCUCGCCGGUGCACUUUGCCGUCCCAGGCCAGCAUCAGUUCGCGCCGGGGGAUAAAGGUUUCGGGAAUGUAGCUCCUUCGGGAGUGUUAUAGCCCGUUGCGUAAUACCCUGGCGUGGACUGAGGUCCGCGCUCUGCAAGGAUGCUGGCGUAAUGGUCAUCAGUGACCCGUCUUGAAACACGGACCAAGGAGUCGUCUUCGUAUGCGAGUGUUCGGGUGUCAAACCCCUACGCGUAAUGAAAGUGAACGUAGGAGAGAGCUUCGGCGCAUCUCCGACCGAUCCUGAUGUUCUCGGAUGGAUUUGAGUAAGAGCAUACGGGGCCGGACCCGAAAGAAGGUGAACUAUGCCUGUAUAGGGUGAAGCCAGAGGAAACUCUGGUGGAGGCUCGCAGCGGUUCUGACGUGCAAAUCGAUCGUCAAAUAUGGGCAUGGGGGCGAAAGACUAAUCGAACCUU